CGAGUAGGUUAAACGGUCGCGGGGGCGGGGAACCGCCAAUGAGGAAAGUCCGAGCACCGCAGGGCAGGAUGCCGGCUAAUUACCGGUGGAGGCGACUCUAAGGAAAGUGCAACAGAAAUAAACCGCCCGCUUUUGCGGGUAAGGGUGGAAAGGCGGGGUAAGAGCCCACCGACCUGCGGGCAACCGCAGGUGCCAUGUAAACCCCAUCCGGUGCAACAUCGACAGGAAGCUUUAUGCGGGGCUGGCCCGGCCCAUUUCCGACAGAUGGCUAAAGCCGCGCGGAAACACGCGGCUUAGAUAGAUGACCGUUCACGACAGAACUCGGCUUACAGACCUACUCGCUUA
rnacentral:RNase_P_RNA from 1 species